UACGUAGGGUGCAAGCGUUAAUCGGAAUUACUGGGCGUAAAGCGCACGUAGGCGGCUCUUUAAGUCGGAGGUGAAAUCCUGGAGCUCAACUCCAGAACUGCCUUCGAUACUGAAGAGCUCGAGUCCGGGAGAGGUGAGUGGAUCUGCGAGUGUAGAGGUGAAAUUCGUAGAUAUUCGCAAGAACACCAGUGGCGAAGGCGGCUCACUGGCCCGGUACUGGACG
rnacentral:rRNA from 1 species